AAUGGGGUCAUGAUGGUAUGUCGAGGACCAGGAAUCGGAAUGGGAACGAUUCCGGAGAUGGAAAAAUAUGUACAGCGAUUGAAUGGACUUUACACAUUGUGUGUUACC